UGAAACAUGUUUUUCUUUAAUAAAAUGAAAAGAAAGGAUUUAGUCUUGAAGCCCUGUUUUAAAUCUUCGGUCUUGAGCGAAUGGGAAGGGCGCCGGUGGCAGCCCGCCUCAUCUGCUGCUGCUGUCGACGGUGGCGUGGUGGCUGCGACGCCGAGGGUGGCGCGGCUUGUCGCUGCUGCUCCUCCGGCGAGCACCACGGAGGGCGGCUGUUACCAGCCGAAGAGAGAAAGGCAGAGAGGGCGAUGGAAGAGAGGUGUGCUGACGGUGGUGGCGUGGAGCCACUGACCGCGGCUGCCGAACCUAGAACAGGGGGAGUUGAGAGAGCUGGGGUUGAGAAUCGAGGGAGGACGGAAGAGGGAGGAUUGGCGACGGCGGCGGUGGCUUGAUGCUCCUGCUUCUCGUCGAUUCAGAGAGAGUCGGAGUCACCGGUCGGCGGCAGCUUUUGUUGUUGCGUCGCCGGAGAAUAGAGAGAGUAUGAGGGAUGGCGUCUGUGGGUGUUGGUGCGAUGAGGGAGAUGAGAGAGGGGAGAGCCGAGCGUCGUCAGCGGCUGCCGCUGUUGCUCCGGCAAGCUUCGGCGGCGAUGGUGGCGGCAUGAAGCUGCUGCCGUCGGCCAGAGUUGAGCAAGGGCUCGGCGAGCCUGAAUCCGAGAGGGAGACAGAGACGGUGGUUGGUUCCAGAUGCUGCGGCUGUCGGGUUGUGCAGGUAGAGGGAAAACGAGGGAGAGGGAGAGGUCCAGUCGCCGGCUCUUCGCCGGAGGAAGGCUGCGGCGGCGGGUUGGCGUGAACCGUGAGAGAGAGAGAGAGAGAGAUUCAGCUUUUGUGUGAGUGUGUGCGUGUGUUUUUCG
rnacentral:lncRNA from 1 species